AGUGAACGCUGGCGGUAGGCCUAACACAUGCAAGUCGAACGGCAGCACAGUAAGAGCUUGCUCUUACGGGUGGCGAGUGGCGGACGGGUGAGGAAUACAUCGGAAUCUACUUUUUCGUGGGGGAUAACGUAGGGAAACUUACGCUAAUACCGCAUACGACCUACGGUUGAAAGCAGGGGAUCUUCGGACCUUGCGCGAUUGAAUGAGCCGCUGUCGGAUUAGCUAGUUGGCGGGGUAAAGGCCCACCAAGGCGACGAUCCGUAGCUGGUCUGAGAGGAUGAUCAGCCACACUGGAACUGAGACACGGUCCAGACUCCUACGGGAGGCAGCAGUGGGGAAUAUUGGACAAUGGGCGCAAGCCUGAUCCAGCCAUACCGCGUGGGUGAAGAAGGCCUUCGGGUUGUAAAGCCCUUUUGUUGGGAAAGAAAAGCAGCAGGUUAAUACCCCGCUGUUCUGACGGUACCCAAAGAAUAAGCACCGGCUAACUUCGUG
rnacentral:rRNA from 1 species